CCUACGGGGGGCUGCAGCAAGGAAUUUUCCACAAUGGGCGCAAGCCUGAUGGAGCAACGCCGCGUGGGGGAUGACGCUUUUCGGAGUGUAAACCCCUUUUCGAGAGGACGAAGCCAAUGACGGUACUCUCGGAAGAAGGACCGGCUAACUACGUGCCAGCAGCCGCGGUAAGACGUAGGGUCCGAGCGUUGUCCGGAGUUACUGGGCGUAAAGCGCGCGCAGGCGGUUUCGUACGUCGGGUGUGAAAGCCCCCCGCUCAACGGGGGAGGGUCAUUCGAAACGGCGGAACUGGAGGCAGGGAGAGGUCGGUGGAAUUCCCGGUGUAGUGGUGAAAUGCGUAGAUAUCGGGAGGAACACCAGUGGCGAAGGCGGCCGACUGGACCUGUACUGACGCUGAGGCGCGAAGGCGUGGGGAGCGAACGGGAUUAGAUACCCUAGUAGUC
rnacentral:rRNA from 1 species